GCCAGUUUACACUAAAGGAGGACACAGAUCAAAAUCUAUACAAGGAAGCCACUGUCAUCCAAAGCUUUUUGUAACUAAAAGGAAGAUGGUAUAUCCAGCCUUUUGGAAAGCAGUAUUAUGUUCUGACUGUUAGCCAGAAGCACUUGCAUUGUCCUGUCUUUACCAUGUAUUUCUCUUUUUUUUUUUUUUUAUUACUAAACUCAGUAGUUCGGUUUUUUUUUACUUGGACAAAAUCAAUCCUGCCACCCAGUAACAUAGAUGGACGUUUUAACAAGAUAUGCCUAGUAUGCAUUGUAGACUGAAAGAAUGUAAUAUUUAUUUAUACAUGUUAUACGAAUUGUAAUUAAAAUGCUUUACAUGGCUUGACAAAUGAAGCUCUCUUUUCUGAGGGGAGGGUGCUCCUUCUGUCAUUUCGGUGUUGAAGUACUGCAUCCACUGCCUAACAGCUGAAACAAAACUUUAAGCCACUUUUUGCAGAGAGAAUAGAGGUGUAUGAAGGUUUUUCCCUGCUCUGACCCUUCUUUUGUGAACCGCUUCCCCUUUCCACCCAACAUGCGGUGAUGAUGAUGGAUGGCAGGAGAAGACAGCAGCCAGGCACAGUUCAGGGCAGUGUCACUAUUCAUCUUGUUCAUCUUCAUGCCUGCCAUCAGCACGAACAACUCCAGGACUCUUGCUUCUGCUGUGUGCAACUUUGGUGCAGCCCAGUCAUAAUUAAUUAUGUUGCUUCUCUGAUUGAUACAGUAGGUUCAGAUGGAAGCAAGUUUUCACUGAAUCACAACUGACGUAUACAAAGCACCCUGUAUCCCAGAGGACCUCAAGCUACUUUACAAGCUAAGCACAGUGAUGCAUCAGCCACACCUCAGGGAUCAGUAUAUCUUCCUGGGAAAACGCAGGUGUCUCUGAGGUGAAAAAGGCAUUUACAGCACGGAGCUGCAAAGUACGACAGCAGAGGAACAAGAGAAAUAGGAUGGAGCAAAAAUAAUACACCAUGGUAGCACAGGAUAUGAUUGUUCAAAGUGCAUUUUUAAGAAAGCUGUAAUGUGCUGAAUAACCCGUCUUAUAGAACGUGUGAAUGGCAUCUCCAGUAACUCAGUGCUCCCAAGCACUUUCUGGGAUACAGGUACAGCACUGGCUGGAGAGGAAAGGGGUAAUUACUACAUCGGUGUUGCUAGUCCAUACACCGUGACUUUGCUCUUUGCUUUUGGCAGCUGAGGCUUUAUAGGAUCGCAAGAGAAAAGGGUAUCUCUAUCUAACAUAAACAGUUGGCUACUGAGAGAAAACCUUGUGAGGAGAAUUCAUCUUGCUCUGUAUUUUCAAUAUGAUGUGCAUGUCUGUCUUGCUAUCUCACAACAUUAUCUAAGAAAAGAAUUCCAUAGUGAAUGAAAACACUAUUCCUC
rnacentral:lncRNA from 1 species